GACGAACGCUGGCGGCGUGCCUAAUACAUGCAAGUAGGACGCACAGUCUAUACCGUAGCUUGCUACACCAUAGGCUGUGAGUUGCGAACGGGUGAGUAACGCGUAGGUAACCUGCCUAUUAGAGGGGGAUAACUAUUGGAAACGAUAGCUAAUACCGCAUAAUAGUAUGUAACACAUGUUAGAUGCUUGAAAGAUGCAAUUGCAUCGCUAGUAGAUGGACCUGCGUUGUAUUAGCUAGUAGGUAGGGUAAAGGCCUACCCAGGCAACGAUACAUAGCCGACCUGAGAGGGUGAUCGGCCACACUGGGACUGAGACACGGCCCAGACUCCUACGGGAGGCAGCAGUAGGGAAUCUUCGGCAAUGGGGGGAACCCUGACCGAGCAACGCCGCGUGAGUGAAGAAGGUUUUCGGAUCGUAAAGCUCUGUUGUUAAGGAAGAAUGAGUGUGAGAAUGGAAAGUUCAUACUGUGACGGUACUUAACCAGAAAGGGACGGCUAACUACGUGCCAGCAGCCGCGGUAAUACGUAGGUCCCGAGCGUUGUCCGGAUUUAUUGGGCGUAAAGCGAGCGCAGGCGGUUAGAAAAGUCUGAAGUGAAAGGCAGUGGCUCAACCAUUGUAGGCUUUGGAAACUGUUUAACUUGAGUGCAGAAGGGGAGAGUGGAAUUCCAUGUGUAGCGGUGAAAUGCGUAGAUAUAUGGAGGAACACCGGUGGCGAAAGCGGCUCUCUGGUCUGUAACUGACGCUGAGGCUCGAAAGCGUGGGGAGCGAACAGG
rnacentral:rRNA from 1 species